rnacentral:misc_RNA from 1 species
GAUGAAGAACGUAGCGAAAUGCGAUACGUAAUGUGAAUUGCAGAAUUCAGUGAAUCAUCGAAUCUUUGAACGCAUAUUGCGCUCUCUGGUAUUCCGGAGAGCAUGCUUGUUUGAGUAUCAGUAAACACCUCAACUUCCAUAUCUUUUUUGAAAUGGGAGUUGGACUUGAGUGAUCCCAACGCUUUUCCUCACCGAAAAGUGGCGGGUUACUUGAAAUGCAGGUGCAGCUGGACUUUUCUCUGAGCUAUAAGCAUAUCUAUUUAGUCUGCCUAAAAAACAGAUUAUUACCUUUGCUGCAGCUAACAUAAAGGAGAUUAGUUCUUGUGCUGACUGAUGCAGGAUUCACAAAGACGGCUUCGGCCGACUUUGUAAACUCGAUCUCAAAUCAAGUAAGGCUACCCGCUGAACUUAAGCAUAUCAAUAAGCGGAGGA